GUGGGCUUUCGUGAUAUUCACUGUUUCAAUUUGGCAAUGCUGGCCAAAUAGGCUUGGCGUCUCCUAGAGAAUCUCGACUCUUUUUGUGCUACUAUUCUGAAAGCUAAAUACUAUCCUGAUGGUGAUUUGUUAAGUACUAAGUUAAAGAAGGGCUCCUCUUUUACCUGGCAAAGUAUUAUGGCAGGUGUUAACUCUUUGAAACAUGGUCAUAUUUGGUGA
rnacentral:rRNA from 1 species